GAUGAACGCUGGCGGCGUGCCUAAUACAUGCAAGUCGAGCGAACAGACGAGGAACUUGCUCCUUCUACGUUAGCGGCGGACGGGUGAGUAACACGUAGGUAACCUACCUAUAAGACUGGGAUAACUACGGGAAACCGGAGCUAAGACCAGAAAAUAUUUCUAACCGCAUGAUUCGAUAGUGAAAGAUUGCUGUGCUAUCACUUAUAGAUGGACCUGCGUCGGAUUAGCUAGUUGGUAAGGUAACGGCUUACCAAGGCAACGAUACGUAGCCGACCUGAGAGGGUGAUCGGCCACACUAGAACUGAGACGCGGUCCAGACUACUACGGGAGGCAGCAGUAGGGAAUCUACCGCAAAGGGCGAGAGCCUGACGGGGACACGCCGAGUGAGUGAUGAAGGGCUUCGGAUCGUAGUACUCUGUUAUUAGGGAAGAACAAACGUGUAAGUAACUGUGCACGUCUUGACGGUACCUAAUCAGAAAGCCACGGCUAACUACGUG
rnacentral:rRNA from 1 species